ACGCUGAAAGAGAAAUGAAAGAAUUUAGUAAAGCCUAAAAAAGCAAAGAUUUAUACUUGUACCUUUUGCAUCAUGAUUUAGCCAGUAUACCCAAGCAAAGAGAACUUUAGUUUGGCCCCCCGAAACUAAGUGAGCUACUCCAAGACAGCCUAGCAUAGGGCAAACCCGUCUCUGUGGCAAAAGAGUGGGAAGAGCUUCGAGUAGAGGUGACAAAUCUAUCGAACUUAGUGAUAGCUGGUUGUUUGAGAAAUGGAUAGGAGUUCAGCCUCUCGGCUUCUCACCUCAAUUUUUAUUCACAUUUUAAUUAGACUACUACAGAAACCAAGAGAGUUAGUCUAAGGGGGUACAGCCCCUCAGACAAAGGACACAACCUUCAUAGAAGGGUAAAGAUCAUACUUAAUUCAAGGUAAAGUGCCCCGGUGGGCUUAAAAGCAGCCAUCCGCCCAGAAAGCGUUAAAGCUCAGGCACACUUAACCUUCCAUCGAUCCCGAUAACACAAUCUCACCCCCCUUUCAAUAUCAAACUAUCCACUGCAGACAGUGGAGAAAUAAUGCUAAAAUGAGUAAUAAGAGAAAAAAGAUUCUCUCCCUGCACAAGUGUACCUCGGAGCGGACUAACCACCGAGACUUAACGUCCCCAAACAAAGAGGGAAAUAGAUUACAAGUUAAUCAACUAGAAAAACAUCCAAGAUAAACCCGUUAACCCCACACUGGUGUGCUAAAUGGGAAAGACUAAAAGGAAGGGAAGGAACUCGGCAAACACUUAAAGCCUCGCCUGUUUACCAAAAACAUCGCCUCUUGCAAGACCAACGAAUAAGAGGUCCCGCCUGCCCUGUGACUAUAUGUUUAACGGCCGCGGUAUUUUGACCGUGCGAAGGUAGCGCAAUCACUUGUCUUUUAAAUGGAGACCCGUAUGAAUGGCUCCACGAGGGCUUAGCUGUCUCCCCCUCCCAGUCAAUGAAAUUGAUCUCCCCGUGCAGAAGCGGGGAUACUUACAUAAGACGAGAAGACCCUAUGGAGCU
rnacentral:rRNA from 1 species